UUUAUGGAGAGUUUGAUCCUGGCUCAGGAUGAACGCUGGCGGCGUGCCUAAUACAUGCAAGUCGAGCGAACGGACGAGAAGCUUGCUUCUCUGAUGUUAGCGGCGGACGGGUGAGUAACACGUGGAUAACCUACCUAUAAGACUGGGAUAACUUCGGGAAACCGGAGCUAAUACCGGAUAAUAUUUUGAACCGCAUGGUUCAAAAGUGAAAGACGGUCUUGCUGUCACUUAUAGAUGGAUCCGCGCUGCAUUAGCUAGUUGGUAAGGUAACGGCUUACCAAGGCAACGAUGCAUAGCCGACCUGAGAGGGUGAUCGGCCACACUGGAACUGAGACACGGUCCAGACUCCUACGGGAGGCAGCAGUAGGGAAUCUUCCGCAAUGGGCGAAAGCCUGACGGAGCAACGCCGCGUGAGUGAUGAAGGUCUUCGGAUCGUAAAACUCUGUUAUUAGGGAAGAACAUAUGUGUAAGUAACUGUGCACAUCUUGACGGUACCUAAUCAGAAAGCCACGGCUAACUACGUGCCAGCAGCCGCGGUAAUACGUAGGUGGCAAGCGUUAUCCGGAAUUAUUGGGCGUAAAGCGCGCGUAGGCGGUUUUUUAAGUCUGAUGUGAAAGCCCACGGCUCAACCGUGGAGGGUCAUUGGAAACUGGAAAACUUGAGUGCAGAAGAGGAAAGUGGAAUUCCAUGUGUAGCGGUGAAAUGCGCAGAGAUAUGGAGGAACACCAGUGGCGAAGGCGACUUUCUGGUCUGUAACUGACGCUGAUGUGCGAAAGCGUGGGGAUCAAACAGGAUUAGAUACCCUGGUAGUCCACGCCGUAAACGAUGAGUGCUAAGUGUUAGGGGGUUUCCGCCCCUUAGUGCUGCAGCUAACGCAUUAAGCACUCCGCCUGGGGAGUACGACCGCAAGGUUGAAACUCAAAGGAAUUGACGGGGACCCGCACAAGCGGUGGAGCAUGUGGUUUAAUUCGAAGCAACGCGAAGAACCUUACCAAAUCUUGACAUCCUUUGACAACUCUAGAGAUAGAGGCUUCCCCUUCGGGGGACAAAGUGACAGGUGGUGCAUGGUUGUCGUCAGCUCGUGUCGUGAGAUGUUGGGUUAAGUCCCGCAACGAGCGCAACCCUUAAGCUUAGUUGCCAUCAUUAAGUUGGGCACUCUAAGUUGACUGCCGGUGACAAACCGGAGGAAGGUGGGGAUGACGUCAAAUCAUCAUGCCCCUUAUGAUUUGGGCUACACACGUGCUACAAUGGACAAUACAAAGGGCAGCAAAACCGCGAGGUCAAGCAAAUCCCAUAAAGUUGUUCUCAGUUCGGAUUGUAGUCUGCAACUCGACUACAUGAAGCUGGAAUCGCUAGUAAUCGUAGAUCAGCAUGCUACGGUGAAUACGUUCCCGGGUCUUGUACACACCGCCCGUCACACCACGAGAGUUUGUAACACCCGAAGCCGGUGGAGUAACCUUUUAGGAGCUAGCCGUCGAAGGUGGGACAAAUGAUUGGGGUGAAGUCGUAACAAGGUAGCCGUAUCGGAAGGUGCGGCUGGAUCACCUCCUUU
rnacentral:rRNA from 1 species